ACGCUGGCGGCACGCCUAACACAUGCAAGUCGAACGAAGUAGCAAUACUUAGUGGCAGACGGGUGAGUAACAUGUAGGUAUCUGCCCUUUGGCCUGGAAUAACACGAGGAAACUUGUGCUAAUACCGGAUAAGUCUUUACAGAGAAAGCUUUAUGCACCAUUGGAUGAGCCUGCACUUGAUUAGUUUGUUGGUGGGGUAAUGGCCUACCAAGACUGUGAUCAAUAGCUGAUUUGAGAGGAUGAUCAGCCACAUUGGGACUGAGACACGGCCCAAACUCCUACGGGAGGCAGCAGUGGGGAAUCUUGCACAAUGGAGGAAACUCUGAUGCAGCGAUGCCGCGUGAGUGAAGAAGGCCUUUGGGUUGUAAAGCUCUUUCGUCGGGGAAGAAAAUGACUGUACCCGAAUAAGAAGGUCCGGCUAACUUCGUGCCAGCAGCCGCGGUAAUACGAAGGGACCUAGCGUAGUUCGGAAUUACUGGGCUUAAAGAGUUCGUAGGUGGUUGAAAAAGUUAGUGGUGAAAUCCCAGAGCUUAACUCUGGAACUGCCAUUAAAACUUUUUAGCUAGAGUAUGAUAGAGGAAAGCAGAAUUUCUAGUGUAGAGGUGAAAUUCGUAGAUAUUAGAAAGAAUACCAAUUGCGAAGGCAGCUUUCUGGAUCAUUACUGACACUGAGGAACGAAAGCAUGGGUAGCGAAGAGGAUUAGAUACCCUCGUAGUCCAUGCCGUAAACGAUGUGUGUUAGACGUUGGAAAUUUAUUUUCAGUGUCGCAGCGAAAGCGAUAAACACACCGCCUGGGGAGUACGACCGCAAGGUUAAAACUCAAAUGAAUUGACGGGGACCCGCACAAGUAGUGGAGCAUGUGGUUUAAUUCGAAGAUACGCGCAGAACCUUACCAACACUUGACAUGUUCGUCGCGACUCUAAGAGAUUAGAGUUUUCGGUUCGGCCGGACGAAACACAGGUGCUGCAUGGCUGUCGUCAGCUCGUGUCGUGAGAUGUUGGGUUAAGUCCCGCAACGAGCGCAACCCCCACUUUUAGUUGCCAUCAUUAAGUUGGGCACUCUGAAAGAACUGCCAGUGAUAAGCUGGAGGAAGGUGGGGAUGACGUCAAGUCCUCAUGGCCCUUACGUGUUGGGCUACACACGUGCUACAAUGGUAUCUACAACAGGAAGCAAGACUGCGAAGUUAAGCAAAUCCCUAAAAGAUACCUCAGUUCGGAUUGCACUCUGCAACUCGAGUGCAUGAAGCUGGAAUUACUAGUAAUCGUGGAUCAGCGUGCCACGGUGAAUGCGUUCCCGGGUCUUGUACACACCGCCC
rnacentral:rRNA from 1 species